rnacentral:lncRNA from 10 species
GGGGAUUUGGGGAAGAAAGGACUGGUCCUCCCCUAGACGGUUUCUGCCUGCUACAGCGUCCAUCUCAUCAACAAUGGAAAAACUGAACCCAAAGCAGCCACAGGACUCUGCAAGCCUGAGCACAGCUGUGUCCAAGAGGAGAUAUCCUCGCCAUCACUUGUGGACUUCCCUGCUGCAGGAGAGCCAGAGGCCAGUGUCUAUGCUGGCCAGUGUCCUAUCAAACUCAGCUACUUCCCACUCCUUAGAGGUGGAGAGAGUGAACAGGGUCUCAUUUUGUCGCUCAGGCUGGAGUGAAGUGGCACAGUCAUGGUUCACUACAUCUUCGACCUCCUGGGAUCAAGUGAUCGUCCCACCUCAACCUCUACAGUAGCUGGGAUUACAGGCACACGACACCACGUCCAGCUUUUUUUUUUUUAAUUUUGUGUAAAGAUGGUGCCCAGACUGGUCUCAAACUCCUGGGCUCAAGCAAUCCUCCCACCUUGGCCUCCUAAAGUGCUGGGAUUACAGGUGUGAGCCAUCAAACCUGGCCUUGUUUUUUUAGAGAAGAGCCCUUCCACCUCAUUUUUUCAUGACAUCAGUUUUUUGAAGAGGCCAGGCCAGUUGACUUCUGCGUUGUCUGAGGCUUCUCUGAAAAGACUCACACUGAUUCUCAAGUGCCUCACAUACACAUCUAUCCAGAGCUGAGAAUGGAACCACUUCUGUCUUCUGCCAAAACAUCCACCCUUCCCCAAUAUGGCCUUCCCACAGCCCCUUGUAGACUAUUAUAAUGUUUAAUGUAUACAGACUGAUUGUCUAUUUUAACAGCAUCCAGCAGUUUCCUUAAUUUGUAUACCUGAGUUCUGGCAUAAGGCCUGGCACAGGGUGGGCCCUCAGUGGAUGAUUUGAUAAAACAAAUGAGCCUAAUCUCUCUUUUCAAAUGCUUUUGAAAAUUGCACUAUAAUAUAUAUUCAGAAAAUGCAUAGAUCUUAAGUGAACAGAUCUAAGAACUGUUACAAACAUGUGCUCUGUAAUGGCCUGUAUCAGGAUAGAAAGCAUUUACCAAACUUCCAGAAUGCUGCCCCAUACCCCUCCCCACCACCCACCCACAAGGGUAGCCACUGCCCUGACUUCUGUCAUCAUAGUUUAAUUUUAUCUGUUUUUCAAUGAAUAAAUAAUGUCAUAAAUAGACUCUUUAGUGUCUCCUUCUUUCACUCAAAAUUAUACCUGCAAGAUCCAUCUGUGUUGUCCCAGUAUUGUUCAUAAUGCAGAAGUUCAUUACUUUUUGCUGCUAUGUAAUAUUCCAUUGUAAAAAUUAACCAUAAUUUAUUUCUUGAUAUCUGUUUUUUUGUGUUAUUUUUCUAUUUUGAGGCUAUUAGGAGUAAUGCUUCUAGCAACCUUUUUAUACUUGUCUCUGUUGAGUGCAUAUCUGUAGUAUAAUUUCUGGGACUUAGGGACACUGCAUAUUCUCGUUUAGUAAAUACAAUCAAACAGGUUUCCAAGGCGGAUACUCUAAUUUACACCAGCAGAAAGUUUGGGACAGCUCACUUAUUCCACAUCCUCUCCAAUGCUGGGCAUUGUUGUUAGGCUUUUUAAUUUUACUCGUUUUGAUGGGUAUGUAAAUGGCAUAUCAUUCUGGUUUGAAUUUGCGAUUUUCCAUGAUCAACUUUGCUUAUACUUAUCGGCCAUCUGUAAAUUCUCCUUUGUCCAAGUAUUUUGCCUUUGUUGAACAUUAGGUUGACAGUGUUUUCCUUACUGAUUUAAAGGACUUCUAUAUAUACUAGAUGCAAAUGUUUUCUUCCUGUGUGGUUUACCUUCACACUCUCUUAAUGCUAUCUUACUGGCAUUUUAAAGUCUUAUUUUAAAAUUUUUGCCUGACCUAGGGCCAAAAGGAUAUUUUCUACUUUUCGUUCUGGAAGUUUUAUUGCUUUACUUUAACAUAUUUAGAUUUGUGACCCAUCUGGAAUUCAUUUUUGCCCCCUGUAGAUAUCCAAUUAUUACAGCACCAUUUGUAGAAAAGACAUUCUGGACUACAGUAGCAAUUUUGUCAUAAAUCAGCAGACCACAUAUAUAUGGACCUAUUCCUGGGCUGCCUAUUUUGUUCUUUUGCUAUGUUUGUCAAUCAUUACAAUAAUAUCACUCUGACCCGACUACUGCAGCUUUAUAAUAAAUCUUAACGUUUGGUAGCAAAAGUUCUUCAAUUUUGCUCUUCUUCAAGCUCUUCUACACUAUUCUCUGUCCUUUACAUAUUCACAUACAUUUUUAAAUUGGCUUGUCAAUUUCCACAGGAAUACCUGCUAGAAUUUUAAUUGAGAUUCCGUUGAAUUUAUGGUGAAACUAGAGAUGAUUUAACAUAUUUACAAUAUUUAAUCUUCUAACUCAUGAACAUUUUGUAUUUCCUCCAUAUACUUGGGUCUUUUAGAAUCUGUAUCUGUAAUGUUUUAUGACUUUAUAAGUAAAAGCCUUAUAGGCCUUUCAUUAAAUUUAUUCCCAGUGAUUAUUUUGUAUUCUAUUUCAAAUGGUGGUUUUUAAAAAAUAUCAUACUCUAAUUGUUUCUGCCUAGUAUAUAGAAGUACAAUUUAUUUUGACAGGCUGAGAUUGUAUGCUGCAAUCUUGCAAAAUUAAAUUACUAAUUCUAAUGGCUUAUUUGUUUACUUUUUGGUAAAAAUAAAAAAUAAACACAUUUUUGCAUAUAUCAUGUCAUCUGCAAAUAAUAACAGCUUUAUUUUGUCCUUCUCAAUUCUUGUGCCAUUUAUUUGCUUGCCUUAUUGCACUAGAUAACACCUUUAGUAAAAUGUUGAGUAAAAUAGGGACAGCAGAAAUUCAUGUCUUACUCCUAAUUUGAGGGGGAGAGUUUUAACAUUUCAUCAUUAAGUAUAAAAUUAGUCAUAGAGUUGUUAUCGAUGACCUUUAUUAGAUAAAGGAAAUUCCCUGUUAUUUCUAUUUUGCUUAGCCUUUCUAUCAUGAAUCAAUGUAAAUUAUAUUACAUAUCUUAAUGCACUUAUUGAGAUAAUCACAAUUCCCUCCAUAUUCUCAUUUAUUCAGUAAACUGUGUCAUUGGAGAUUCUAAUAUUUCUUCUUUUUUCUUUUGGUUCCACAGCAUUUGGAAUGAUUUUCAAUUGUUAAACCAGCCUUGCAUUCUUGGAAUAAUUCCAACUUGGUUGUAAUGUAUUUUCCUUUUAAUAUGUUACUAGAUUCUGGUUGCUCACAUUUUGUUAAGAACUUUUGUACCUAAGUUCAUGAGGAAGAUAAAAAAUAAUUUUGUUGUAAUGUCUUUGUCAGUUUUAUUAUUAAGGCUAUUUAACCUCAUGCCAGGUUGAGAACAUGUUGGAAAAUGUACAUGAUUCUUCUUUUUUAUGCAUGAUGCAAUUUAAGCUCACUUCUCUACAGUCCUUUUUUCUCUGAGGUCUUGGCUUCACAAAUCCUGACUGCCUUAACAGCCUUAAAUUCCAAUUUUAUGUUUACCUCAGCUGUAAGCCUUUGGUCUCUGCUCUGUGACAUACAUCAUUAAGCACCCUGAGGAGAAAUGUGGUGGCCACCAUAGAGCUCACGUCUAUCUGUUCCUUUUCUUUCAGGAUCUUGGCCACUCAAAUCUUGGCUGCCUUUCAACAGCUUUUUAAAAUCUAGUUUUUUAUCGUUGUUCCUGGCAGGCACGAGUUAUUUAUCAUAACCAAAAUAGGAAGUCUAAUCUUCAUCUUUAAAGUUGACAUCAGAUUGGACCAUCUCUCAUUGUUCCUUCCUUGGUAAUAGAAUAUUGGGAUAGCAGUACCCACAAGAACGACUUCGUGGUAUAAGGCAAAGAUAUGAAGCAGUGAUUGCAUGAAGAGCAUCUGUAGCCAAGCCUGGGCUUGGAUUUCAGCUCUGCUACACCUAGACGUGUGAGUUUGAGAACUUUUCUACACUUCAGUACACACAUUAUAAUACGGAAUAACAACAGUAUCUACCUCAUAGGCUUAUUGGGAAGACUAGACCUAGUGAAAUAAUAUAUCUGAAAUAGGUACUCUGUGCCUUAAACGGGGUGAUAAAAUAAAGUGCUGG